rnacentral:lncRNA from 1 species
GUCAGAAAUAGUGUGAAAGCCUCUAUUUCUGUUUCCCCAGAGGCAAGUACUUUGAAAGGAACCUGUUAAUAUUUCUGUGAUGUCUAAUCAACAGCUGGACUUCUAACAGUAUAGAUGUACCAUACAGAAAGUUGCACGUGGACUUCAAAACUCACAUUGUUCUAAAUGUCAUGAGAAUUUCACGAGAAAUGAAAAAAAAACAGCAAUGAGCGGAGUCAUUGCAAAGGUAUUUAGACACUGUGCACAAGGCAAGAGGCCAUCUUACUACCUUUAGGAGCAGAGUUUGAAGAUUUAGUUGUGUCUUGGCCAGUGCCAAGAAAAAAAGUGCAAUAAAAGGAUUGUGUUUAAAUCUGCAGAAACUGAGAUCCAGCCCAAAGCAAGACAGCGUGAAAAUAAGGAGCUGUGGAUCAAGCGGCUCACUGAGUGAGCUCGCCUGCCUGUUAGUCUUCACUGAAUGAAAACUGCU